rnacentral:rRNA from 1 species
GACGAACGCUGGCGGCGUGCUUAACACAUGCAAGUCGAACGGAAAGGCCUCCACCUUGGUGGGGGUGCUCGAGUGGCGAACGGGUGAGUAACACGUGGGUGAUCUGCCCUGUACUUCGGGAUGAGCUUGGGAAACUGGGUCUAAUACCGGAUAGGACCAUGGUUUAGUGUCUCAUGGUGGAAAGAUUUUUUGGUGCAGGAUGAGCUCGCGGCCUAUCAGCUUGUUGGUGGGGUAAUGGCCUACCAAGGCGUCGACGGGUAGCCGGCCUGAGAGGGUGGACGGCCACAUUGGGACUGAGAUACGGCCCAGACUCCUACGGGAGGCAGCAGUGGGGAAUAUUGCACAAUGGGCGCAAGCCUGAUGCAGCGACGCCGCGUGGGGGAUGACGGCCUUCGGGUUGUAAACUCCUUUCGUUAGGGACGAAGCCGCACCUUUUUUGGGUGUGGUGACGGUACCUUUGUUAAGAAGCACCGGCUAACUACGUGCCAGCAGCCGCGGUAAUACGUAGGGUGCGAGCGUUGUCCGGAAUUACUGGGCGUAAAGAGCUCGUAGGUGGUUUGUUGCGUCGUCUGUGAAAUUCCGGGGCUUAACUUCGGGGUGGCAGGCGAUACGGGCAUAACUAGAGUGCUGUAGGGGAGACUGGAAUUCCUGGUGUAGCGGUGGAAUGCGCAGAUAUCAGGAGGAACACCGAUGGCGAAGGCAGGUCUCUGGGCAGUAACUGACGCUGAGGAGCGAAAGCAUGGGGAGCGAACAGGAUUAGAUACCCUGGUAGUCCAUGCUGUAAACGGUGGGCGUUAGGUGUGGGGACCGGUUUGGUUUCUGUGCCGUAGCUAACGCAUUAAGCGCCCCGCCUGGGGAGUACGGCCGCAAGGCUAAAACUCAAAGGAAUUGACGGGGGCCCGCACAAGCGGCGGAGCAUGUGGAUUAAUUCGAUGCAACGCGAAGAACCUUACCUGGGUUUGACAUGCACCAGACGGUUGUAGAGAUACGUACCUCCCUUUGUGGUUGGUGUGCAGGUGGUGCAUGGUUGUCGUCAGCUCGCGUCGUGAGAUGUUGGGUUAAGUCCCGCAACGAGCGCAACCCUUGUCUUAUGUUGCCAGCACUUUGGGUGGGGACUCAUGAGAGACUGCCGGGGUUAACUCGGAGGAAGGUGGGGAUGACGUCAAAUCAUCAUGCCCUUUAUGCCCAGGGCUUCACACAUGCUACAAUGGUUAGUACAACGCGCUGCGAGCCUGUGAGGGUGAGCGAAUCGCUGAAAGCUAAUCUCAGUUCGGAUUGGGGUCUGCAACUCGACCCCAUGAAGUCGGAGUCGCUAGUAAUCGCAGAUCAGCAAUGCUGCGGUGAAUACGUUCCCGGGCCU